AAAAUUGAGAAUGGAAAUGGGGAAUGUGCCAAAGAGACAACAACCCGACCAUAGAAAAAAACAACAGCAGAAGGUCACCAACAGGUCUUCAAUGUAGCGAGAAAUUCCUGCACCCGGAGGCGUCCUUCAACUGUCCCCUAAAUAAAUAUAUACUAGUUCAGUGAUAAUGAACGCCAUACUAAUUUCCAAAUUGUACACAAGAAACUAAAAUUAAAAUAAUACAAGACUAACAAAGGCCAGAGGCUCCUGACUUGGGACAGGCGCAAAAAUGCGGCGGGGUUAAACAUGUUUGCGAGAUCUCAACCCUCCCCCUAUACCUCUAGCCAAUGUAGAAAAGUAAACGCAUAACAAUACGCACAUUAAAAUUCAGUUCAAGAGAAGUCCGAGUCUGAUGUCAGAAGAUGUAACCAAAGAAAAUAAACAAAAUGACAAUAAUACAUAAAUAACAACAGACUACUAGCAGUUAACUGACAUGCCAGCUCUAGACUUCAAUUAAACUGACUGAAAGAUUAUGAUUUCAUCAUAUGAACAUCAGGCACAAUCCUUCCCGUUAGGGGUUUAGUAUCAUACCAUCAUAACAUAUAUGAGAAGAACAUAACCCGUGUCAUG
rnacentral:lncRNA from 1 species